CACACUGCCUCAGGGGGAAAGGACUCUCAGGUGGAGUCUGCUCUCUACCAUCACCUCUCGGCCAGCUGAACAUGUCACAGUGGUCAUCCUUCUCAAGUGAUGUUAUUAGGUGAGUCUACUAGGGCUUAGAUUACACAGACCCUGGUCUCAUGUAAUGAGAUCUUUAGUCUCUUGGAGAAUAGUGUUCUCAUAGCACCAACAUCAGAAACAGCUUUUUUUGAGGGUGGAAAUUAUCUUUCAGAGCCCCUGAAAUCACACCUAUUUGUGAAAUCAGCCCCGGAAAAAAGAGUCACAGACGCUUUUAAAACCAUGUUCCUUGAGGAAAAGCAUGCCAGAAUUCUUGGUAGGUCCUUAAGCUGUGUCCUUCAAAAGCUGCAUUUGCUAUUGGAAAUCAAGUAGGGACAGGACUGGCAAAUAGACUACACAGAUCAAGCGCCCCCCCCCCAUAGUUUCUCCUGCCUUUCCCCUCUUCCUACACAAAAGAGUAACAAAAGAAAACUAGCAGCAGAGGUUGAAGUUUCAGGUGAGGAGAGCAGGAUUUGGAUGGAGCUGGCUCUCAGUAGCAUCACAAACAGUGUAUUGACAAUGUGAUGUUGCUACCAUUAUGAAGUCAUGAUUUCAACACCUGCAGGUGUCAUAUCUUCCCAGUAUGGAAAGAAAUCGACCAGGCCUCCUUCAAGAUUCCUACCAGAUGCAUGCAGCCAGUGCCAGGCAAGAGAAACAUGAGAACACUAACAUCCCUAGUGAAAAUAGCACUACCGAGAACAAAUAUGAAAACACCCCCGUCCAGGUGUAUGAGAAUCAUUGGACCAGGAGCCCUCAGAAUAGAUUGAGCACGCUACAAAAUCCUCUGGUCCUCAAUGCCCAGAAUCCGACUGAUGAUGAAGUAGUCCGAAUGAAUAAGAAGCUGGAAGAAAAGAGACAAGAGUGGAAAAAACGGAUGGAGAUAGUGGCAAAAGGAAAGACUGAGCUGUUAAAAGGACAAAAAUAUAGAAAUCAACUCAUGAAUAAGCUUUUGAAGGAGAGCAAAGUCAAAAAGCAGCAGGCCCUGGAAAAGUGGGCGGCAGAUGUAAAAACGAACAAAAUCAAACAGGAAGAGAUAGAAUAUCUGACCCAAGAACUUAGAGACCUCCGUGACAGGAAGCAGAAGAUGAAGAAAAAGAUGGAGAAGUACAGGCCCUUUGAAGACUUCCUGGUGAAAGUCCUUGACAAACUGCCAAAUUGCUUUAGAAGCUGGGAUUUGAACUCUUCCAUAAAGAAAAUCAUGGACCACUAUGAGAUGCUUUCCAACACCAACAAGAGAUUAAUAAAGCAAGUGUCCAGCCUCUCAGAUGCCCGCAAGAAAGCCCAGAAAAAUCUUGAAGCUUUGCAGCUGAAACACGCCAACAGCACACUUGUCCUGAAUACUGAGCUCUCAACUUUGCAAAAGAAAUUGGAUGAGGUCAAGGAAAAAAACAGAGAGAUGAAAAUGAAUGUACAGAUAAAGAAAAGUAUCUCAAAAGAUGGUGACCAACAUCUAGGGACAGCCAUCACUAACCUGGCAGAGCAGUGCCAAAUCCAACAUUAUGGUCCUUUAAAACAAUUGGACUUAUGCUGCAAACUGGAAAUGAUUCAGGAAUUUAUAUUGGAUAAAAUGAAGACCAAAAAAUUAGCUGAAUCUCAAAUGUUCUGGAAUGGGGAACUCAUAAAAAGUUACCCACAGAAGAUUCAAGAACUGGGCAAAAGGAAGUCAGCAGACAGAAUUUCAUCUCGAGCUUCUCCUGGAGCCCCUAUAAGCAAAAUAACUGUUCCCCAGGUGGAAAUUGCCGUUAGACUGCCCACACCACAAGCUCACUGCCUCAAGCCUCUGAACCUUCCCAAGAGCCAGGAGGUCUAAGAAUGCUGUUUUUCCUUUCCUUGCUCACAUAAUUUAAGAUGCAUAGUAUGUCCAUACUCUUCUAAAGCUUGACACAAGUCAACAGGUUGGGAUGCCUAAAGAAAGACUCUCAAAAGCUAAAAAUAGUCAGCUUCCCUGGAUAACAAUAAAUUGGGGAAUCGGUCUUGGGUAAAAACA
ensembl:lncRNA